AUGGGGGUGGGAUACCUGACAAUCCAGGAAUGCAACUCUGAUGAAUCGGAGAUCUUCUCUAAGCACUUCACUGGGGCGAUGUUCCGAGUCAAUGCCCUCCUUGUGGUGAACGCCAUCCUGAUGGGAGUCAUGGUUUUCAUAGGCGCAUACGGUCGCUAUCGCAGCCAUCCAUUGACCCGUUACAUUUUCUUGGGUGCCACUGCAUUGUUCAUUCCCAUAAUCUCCUAUGUCCUAUCUGACAUUGAUAAUCGGAAUGGCCUUAUCCUUUUUGCCGCUGGAGAAAAGAUAAUAAGCCGCCUGUGUAGUGCAAGUACCCACAAGAAUCUAGUCUUAAUAUGGACUGGUCUUGUUCAAAUGGUUGGUAUCAGCACCAGUUUGGUAGUGGUCAGUGAUUCUAGAGAGGGGCGAAACAUUGGCCCAUCUGGGGUACUACUUGUGCAGGCAAUGUGGACUUCCUACCUUAUGGUUUAUAACAUAGGGUUGAAGUAUCAAGUAUCAUACACCGACCUGCAUACUGUUGGUAUCCUCAACAUCAACGUCGAGUGGUCUCUGGUAUAUGCAUUUUCUCUAGAAGGAUUGAUGGUUAUCCCACCAUUUGCUCUCACCUUUGCAAAGCUACUUUUCAAGUGUUCUGCAUGGUACAAGGCCAGAAAAUCAUUAGCAAUUGGAUGCAAUCCUCGUCUUAUUGUUGGAUACAUGGAGCAGCUACACGAUGCCAACAUGACAAAUGAUUAUCAGGAUAUACCUCCUCCACUAAUAGUAAUGGAUGAAGACACAACAUCUGUGGAUAAGCAGCCUCAUGGUUAUAGCUUCGCACUGAUGCCCAAUAGAGGCGGCUUAGUGACCCUUGACAAAGUUUGGCAGCUGGAUGACAUGCACGAUCUCAAGUUAACAUCACAUCUCAAAGAUGUAUGCCUUUCCUUCGCACUGUCCAAGCUUUUAAGGUGUCGGUUCGCCAGGUACACAAAUGCUGAGAUUGGCUUCACCAAAGCUUCUAGCUUUUUAAGGCAUAUGUUACUCGAAGAUAGCGAUGAUGAGAGAGUACUUCGACUGAUUGAUUAUGAGCUUUCUUUUCUUCAUGAUAUUUAUUAUUCAUCCCUGGCAAUCUCAUAUUCGAAGAGCUGGAUGCCCAUACUGAGCAUAUUGAUUUCACUCUCAGGCAUUGGUUCUUGCUUUGUUUUAGUAUAUCUUCAGUUUGCUUAUGGGGAUUACUCAUCAAAGUUGAUAGAUUGCAUGUAUGCAUGCCUUUCUCGGAAUGGAGAACGUGUCGUAGAUGGUCAGAGCUUUGGAAAUGCAAUAUUUGACCUUGUACCAGUAGUUGUACUUAUUGCACUGGUUGUGCUUGCUGAGGCAAGAGAGAUUACUUCUUACAUUUGCUCUAACUGGACAAAAGUGGCCCUAAUCUGCCGCUACAUAAACCAUGCUUCUUGGCAGCAAUCUCCUACCAUGCAGAAAUGGAUCAGGCGUGUGCUGCAGUGUAGAUGCAAGGUAUUGAAGCAUUUGGAGGACAAAAUGGACCAAUGUUCAAUACUGGUGCUCCACCCAAGGAAGACUCCAAUGGGCCUGCUUCGUCGUCUUAAAGCUGGUCAGAAGGUCAAGGUGCCAAGAGAGUUGAAGGCUGCUAUCAUGAAUGCACUGAGAAAUUAUGAGAGAAGCCGAGACAAUUACCGCAUGCCAUCUCUGUGCCCGAGGCCGCAGUUGAAGACCGGCGACAACCUCCUUUGGGUGGUUGAUGGCACAAAAGGUAUUGCCAAUACCAUUCUUGUGUGCCACAUCGCCACAACCAUUCUUGAACUCAGGUCAGCUGGCUCAUGUCAACCUCUCUCUGACCAUAAGACCGCUGCCAUCCACCUGUCCCGGUACUGCGCCUACCUGGUGGCCUACUCUCCUGAGCUGCUUCCAGAGGAUGACGAGUGGUGCAAGAGCUUGUAUAAGACAGUCAAGAAGAAGGCUGAGCACAUCCUUGCCGGAGUGUCAACAGCUGAAGUGGAGUAUCAGCAGUUGGUGAGGCUGAUGAGCGCCUCACAGAAUCAUCAAGUGCUCAAGGAUGGUGCCAAGCUCGGACAACAGUUGGCGGAGCUGAACCAAGGAGAGGCCAACACGGCGUGGGAGCUCCUCGCCGGCUUUUGGUCGGAGAUGAUGCUGUACAUUGCUCCAUCAGACAACAUUGACGGUCACUUGGAGGCCAUCGCCCGCGGCGGCGAGCUCAUAACGCUCCUAUGGGCAUUGCUUGCACACCUGGGGAUUUUCAGUAGAGCCGGCGACCCGACCAGCACAACCGGUGAAAGUGUGUAG
rnacentral:rRNA from 1 species